rnacentral:rRNA from 1 species
GGAUUCCCCUAGUAAUGGCGAAUGAAGCGGGAACAGCUCAAAUUUGAAAUCUCCGUCGCCUGCGACGGCGAAUUGUAGUUUCUAGAAGCACUUUCUAGGCGAUUCGGGGCCGUCCAAGUUGCUUGGAACAGCACGUCAUAGAGGGUGACAACCCCGUCUGUGGCGGAACCGGGCGCUGACGAUGUGCUUUCGACGAGUCGGGUUGUUUGGGAAUGCAGCCCAAAAUGGGUGGUAAACUCCAUCUAAAGCUAAAUACUGGCACGAGACCGAUAGCGAACAAGUACCGUGAGGGAAAGAUGAAAAGCACUUUGAAAAGAGAGUUAAAAAGUACGUGAAACCGUUAAAAGGGAAACGAAUGAGGUUAGCAAUGCGCUCUGCGAGAUUCAGCCGGUGGCCGGGCUGGGCGAGCGGUUUGCGGAUCUGAAUGGACCGCGGCCGUUCGGGUCGGUCCCUCGACCGUCGCACUUCUCACGAGCGCGCGUCAGUGUCGGUUGGAACUGGGUUUUAAAGUCGCCGGGAAGGUAGGUCAGUCCCUCCGGGGUCAGACUGUUAUAGACCGGUGUUCUUAUGGCCCGGAUCCUACCGAGGUGCCGCGGCGCGUGCCUCUUCUGGCUGGGGUCCCGUCGUUCCGGUCGGUAGUCGACUGUGGUGGACUGCGUGCAGUGCAUCGCGACUGCUGCCGGUCGCUUCGGCGGUGACCUCACACAACGCGCCCAGGACGCUGGCGGUGACAUGGCCUCAUCCGACCCGUCUUGAAACACGGACCAAGGAGUCUAACAUGUGCGCGAGUCUUUGAGUGAUCGAAACUCGCAGGCGGAAUGAAAGUGAAGGUGGCUUCGGCCGCUGAGGUGAGAACCCCUCCUUGCGGGGGGCGCAUCAUCGACCGACCUAUUCUACUCUUAGGAAGGUUUGAGUAAGAGCGCAUCUGUUGGAC